GUACCUUCCCAGUACAAAUAAUGCCACCAAUACUUCCACCAAUCCCAAAGCAAUUGCAAACCCAUGCAUUUGGACGGGUAUCUCGUGCAAUGCAACUGGAAGUGUCAACAAGAUAAACCUUACCAAUUCUGGUAUACAAGGUCAGCUCGCUUGAGGCAGUCCGAGCAGACAGGUCAGCUCGCCUUUUCUCUUGAGCCAACUGUUCCACACUCUUCACUUCGUUCUUCACUGAAUCAGGCCCCCUUCCGUUGGAAGAGCAUGUAAUCACUGAGAAACCAAUGUUUCCUGCAAAACCCAACAAAAUGAUCAAUCAAACCAAUCAAUCCAAACCAAAUGAAGCUAAAAGAUUGAAACUUUGUUUAUCUAUUUUUUUUUCCUGGUAGAACCCAAAGAUUGAAACUUCAGUGAAAUCAGAUCUCUCUGCUUUGUGGGUC